AUUGAACGCUGGCGGCAUGCUUUACACAUGCAAGUCGAACGGUAACAGGGUGCUUGCACCGCUGACGAGUGGCGAACGGGUGAGUAAUGCGUCGGAACGUGCCGAGUAGUGGGGGAUAACGCAGCGAAAGUUGUGCUAAUACCGCAUACGUACUGAGGUAGAAAGUGGGGGACCUUCGGGCCUCACGCUAUUCGAGCGGCCGACGUCUGAUUAGCUAGUAGGUGAGGUUAAGGCUCACCUAGGCGACGAUCAGUAGCGGGUCUGAGAGGAUGAUCCGCCACACUGGGACUGAGACACGGCCCAGACUCCUACGGGGGGCAGCAGUGGGGAAUUUUGGACAAUGGGCGAAAGCCUGAUCCAGCCAUGCCGCGUGUCUGAAGAAGGCCUUCGGGUUGUAAAGGACUUUUGUCAGGGAGGAAAUCCCUAGUGCUAAUAACACUGGGGGAUGACAGUACCUGAAGAAUAAGCACCGGCUAACUACGUGCCAGCCGCCGCAGUAAAAC
rnacentral:rRNA from 1 species